UGGCAUGUUGAACAAAGUGAAUGGUAAUGGAUUGUAGGUAGGAAAGAGAGGAGAUGGUUCAGAGAGAGAAAGAGCAUACAUACCUGAAGAAACCUAGGAAAGGGGGCAGAGACAGGCAAGAUCAGUAAUCCCAAUAGUUGGGAGGGGGAGGCAGGAGGAUCAGAAAUUACAGUGUCAUCUUUAGCUGUCUAUUGAGUUUGAGGCCAGCCUGGGCUACAUGAGAACCUGUUUCAAAAUAACCAGAAAUGGGGAGGAGAUACUGAAGGAACCGGCUUCCCUUUUGGCAGCCAUAACAGCCGAACACGUGCUUGCCAUAAACCUGCCUUGGUCACUUAGAGGUCAGAUGCCUGUCUUGUGACAAGGAACCAAUCAGAAGUUAGCUGGUGGCGCUAUGCUUUACGACCCUGGGUGUGCUUUACGGACAAGCGCACGACAAUGACGUAGAGAGCAUAGCAACCACCCUGGGAGGGCCUAUGAGCCAUAACAACCAGUUGACCAAUCAACACAGGGCAAGCCCUCCAAGCCUGGAGGCACACCAAUCGUGAGCCUGUGCGUACCCCUAGACACUCCCCUUACGCUGCCCUAUAAGAUCUUUUGGGAGCCCGUAGGAGCCGUCUUUUUCUAGCCGUCUGCCAUGGCGGGUGGGUGAAAGACCCGAGCUAACAUGGGGUUAGUUCGUUAAAUUACAAUAAAGCCUCGUGCAGUUUGCAGCAAGCUCUCGAAUCCGCCUGGUGAUUGGGGUGACCGCGAACCUGGCCUGAGACCCCGGAUACUUGAGUUUUCGGGGGUCUAACAUUUUGGGGGCUCGUCCGGGAUUUGCGACCACCCUUCACCUGAGUGGAUUCGAUCUUGGAGUUUAUAAUGUCAGACAGACUGCCAGAUCCGGACAGUGACCCAAAGUCUCCAAAGAAGAUUACGAGGCACCUCAGUUCCUGCACCUGGACCAGUGAGCGAGAUGCUCAGAUGUGAAACCUGCCGCCUGCCAGAACCUGGCCGAGAAUGUGGACAAAGCUGCUGGACACUGGAAAAUUGAUUGUACCCCUUUGCCUAGACAAAACAAGGUCAGUCUUUUCCAUGUCCCUCUUCCACAGAGAGGAAAAAAACUCUCACAGUAUAGGCCUGGCGAAGAUUGCUGUUCUUUGAGACAGCUGCCUCCAACGGUAAUGGAGAAACUUGGGUGUGGCUAACUGUAUAUAGACUGGCUUCUGUCACUUUUCAGUAGAUUCGGAUAAAAUAUACCCUUCUCAGAUCUCUGAAAUAUUACUGGUUGUCAGCUUGACAGCAUCAGUCAGUCAGAUCCACUAUAGACUAGUCAGUAUGUUAGCUGAUAAAAUAGUAACUAUCUACUGUUCAGGCACGAGCUCAAGGUUUUUAAGUUUAUUUUGGUUGUCAUCUAAGUACAAACUUAAAGGGCUUUUCAUCAGGCCAAAGGCACCUCUGUCCAAUCCAUACCUGGCUCUCUGGACAGAAGAAAAAUGUACAUGCUUAUAGCCCAAAUCUGCAGUUUUUGCUAGGACUCAAAGUUAUAAAUAUGUUCCUGCUGUUUAAACAGAUAUUGCUUUUUCUGCACUGUGGGCUUCAGUAAAUAAGUUUUAACCUCUGUUCCUAGUUUAAACAUGUCUUAAACAGGUUUCUGCUUCUGGCAGACAUCUGAGUAUCAGUUGCUGACUACCGGCUGUUCUAAGUAGACUGCGAGCCCUAGACUUGCUGUGGAUGUAAACCAGUCCAGCUGAUGUGGACACCCCCUAUCUCUGCAACAGUGUCUUCUAACCAGAAGCCCCUGAUGAAUUCCCCAUUGCCUAAAUUCCUUUUUGCUUUUGACUAGCAUUUCAACCUUCUGGGGUCCCUAACUUCGUCCCAAAGUCAGCAGGAAGCAGUUUGGAAAAGAAUUUCGCCGUCCAUUUUCCCUGGUUAAAAUGCUAAGUCAAAAGGAACUCCCUUGCAUGGGGAUGCCAGUAUCUAUCACUCCCUGAUGGGGAUGCUAGAGAGACAGCAAUUCCAUGAUUGGAAUUUACAAAAAAGAAAAUGGGGGAAUGAAGGAACCGGCUUCCCUUUUGGCAGCCAUAACAGCCGAACACGUGCUUGCCAUAAACCUGCCUUGGUCACUUAGAGGUCAGAUGCCUGUCUCGUGACAAGGAACCUUAGUCACUAAAAGGUCAGAUGCCUGUCUUGUGACAAGGAACCAAUCAGAAGUUAGCUGGUGGCGCUAUGCUUUACGACCCUGGGUGUGCUUUACGGACAAGCGCACGACAAUGACGUAGAGAGCAUAGCAACCACCCUGGGAGGGCCUAUGAGCCAUAACAACCAGUUGACCAAUCAACACAGGGCAAGCCCUCCAAGCCUGGAGGCACACCAAUCGUGAGCCUGUGCGUACCCCUAGACACUCCCCUU
rnacentral:lncRNA from 1 species